rnacentral:rRNA from 1 species
GACGAACGCUGGCGGCGUGCCUAAUACAUGCAAGUAGAACGCUGAAGAGAGGAGCUUGCUCUUCUUGGAUGAGUUGCGAACGGGUGAGUAACGCGUAGGUAACCUGCCUUGUAGCGGGGGAUAACUAUUGGAAACGAUAGCUAAUACCGCAUAACAAUGGAUGACACAUGUCAUUUAUUUGAAAGGGGCAAUUGCUCCACUACAAGAUGGACCUGCGUUGUAUUAGCUAGUAGGUGAGGUAAUGGCUCACCUAGGCGACGAUACAUAGCCGACCUGAGAGGGUGAUCGGCCAAACUGGGACUGAGACACGGCCCAGACUCCUACGGGAGGCAGCAGUAGGGAAUCUUCGGCAAUGGGGGCAACCCUGACCGAGCAACGCCGCGUGAGUGAAGAAGGGUUUCGGAUCGUAAAGCUCUGUUGUAAGUCAAGAACGGGUGUGAGAGUGGAAAGUUCACACUGUGACGGUAGCUUACCAGAAAGGGACGGCUAACUACGUG